rnacentral:rRNA from 1 species
CCCAGACUCCUACGGGAGGCAGCAGUGGGGAAUAUUGCACAAUGGGGGGAACCCUGAUGCAGCGACGCCGCGUGGGUGAAGGAGCGUUUCGGCGCGUAAAGCCCUCUCGGCAGGGAAGAAGGAGGACGGUACCUGACUAAGAAGCCCCGGCUAACUACGUGCCAGCAGCCGCGGUAAUACGUAGGGGGCAAGCGUUAUCCGGAUUUACUGGGUGUAAAGGGGGCGCAGACGGCAGCGCAAGCCAGGAGUGAAAGCCCGGGGCCCAACCCCGGGACUGCUCUUGGAACUGCGCGGCUGGAGUGCAGGAGGGGCAGGCGGAAUUCCUGGUGUAGCGGUGAAAUGCGUAGAUAUCAGGAGGAACACCGGUGGCGAAGGCGGCCUGCUGGACUGCGACUGACGUUGAGGCCCGAAAGCGUGGGGAGCAAACAGGAUUAGAUACCCGAGUAAA